GGCGGCGUGGCUAAGGCAUGCAAGUCGUACGGGACUCUCUUAGUAGUAAUACUGCGGGAGUUUAGUGGCGGACGGGUGAGUAAUGCAUGGGUAACGUACCUUAGGCUCAGGGAUAGCGGCGCCCUUCGGGGCUUUAGCGAAAGUGCCGGUAAUACCUGAUAACAUCCAGAGGCCUCAUGGUUUUUGGAUCAAAGAUGGGGACCCUUCGGGGCCUGUCGGCCAAAGAUCGGCCCAUGUCCUAUCAGCUUGUUGUGGGGUAAUGGCCUACCAAGGCUCCGACGGGUAGCCGGCGUGAGAGCGCGACCGGCCACAUCGGGACUGAGACACUGCCCGGACACCUACGGGUGGCUGCAGCAACGAAUAUUCCGCAAUGGGCGAAAGCCUGACGGAGCGACGCCGCGUGGGGGAUGAAGUCCUUCGGGAUGUAAACUCCAAUAGUAUACCAGGAAGCAAGCCGACCUAAUACGUCGGUACGUUGACCAAUAUAUGAAAGGGGCGGCUAACUCCGUGCCAGCAGCCGCGGUAAGACGGAGGCCCCAAGCGUUGUUCGGAAUCACUGGGCUUAAAGCGCGUGUAGGCGGAACGGUAAGUACCUUGUGAAAUCCCCGGCUUCAACCCGGGAACUGCUCGGUAUACUGCUGUUCUUGAGGCAGGCAGGGGUUACUGGAACCUUAGGUGGAGCGGUGAAAUGCGUAGAUAUCUAAGGGAACGCCUGUGGCGAAAGCGGGUGACUGGGCCUGACCUGACGCUGAGACGCGAAAGCGUAGGGAGCAAACGGGAUUAGAUACCCCGGUAGUCUACGCCGUAAACGAUGCGCACUAGGUUCGAGAGCUUCUGACGGUUUUCGUGCCGAAACAAAAGCGAUAAGUGCGCCGCCUGGGGAGUACGGCCGCAAGGCUAAAACUCAAAGGAAUUGACGGGGGCUCACACAAGCGGUGGAGCAUGUGGAUCAAUUCGAAACAACGCGAAGAACCCUACCUGGGUUUGACAUGCACGGAUGCUCUUGGUGAAAAUCGAGUAGGCUGCCUUCGGGUGAAACGUGCACAAGUGCUGCAUGGCUGUCGUCAGCUCGUGCUGUGAAGUGUCGGGUUAAGUCCCUUAACGAGCGAAACCCUUGUCGCUAGUUGCCAGCGGGUCAUGCCGGGAACUCUAGCGAGACUGCCGGCGUUAAGCCGGAGGAAGGUGGGGACGACGUCAAGUCAUCAUGGCCUUUAUGCCCAGGGUUUCACACGUGCUACAAUG
rnacentral:rRNA from 1 species